rnacentral:tRNA from 1 species
UGGGGUAUAGCUCAGUGGUAGAGCACUUGCCUAGUAUGCGUGAGGCCCUGGGUUCAAUCCUUAAUACCACAU